rnacentral:rRNA from 1 species
GACAGAGGGGGCAAGCGUUGCUCGGAAUUACUGGGCGUAAAGGGUGCGUAGGCGGUCCUACAAGUCAGAGGUGAAAGGCUACGGCUCAACCGUAGUAAGCCUUUGAAACUGUAGGACUUGAGUGCAGGAGAGGAGAAUGGAAUUCCCAGUGUAGCGGUGAAAUGCGUAGAUAUUGGGAGGAACACCAGUUGCGAAGGCGGCUCUCUGGACUGUAACUGACGCUGAGGCACGAAAGCGUGGGGAGCGAACAGG